CCGGCGGUCGUCUAGUUGGUUUAUGGCGUCAGACUGUAAUUGACCAUUGUAAUCUGAAUGUCGCCGGUUCGACUCCGGCCCACCGGA
rfam:Penicillium arizonense strain CBS 141311 PENARI_contig015, whole genome shotgun sequence.